rfam:Gossypium hirsutum cultivar TM-1 chromosome 24, whole genome shotgun sequence
GGGGAGCAUUACAGAGAUGAGAUGUUGCCUGAUACAACCUUCCUACAUAAAAUUCUGUAUUUUCCUGCUUGUAGCACUUGAGCUAGUUUCUACAAGCCUCAUAUCUACAGAGACAUGA